AUUGAACGCUGGCGGCAUGCCUUACACAUGCAAGUCGAACGGUAACAGGUUAAGCUGACGAGUGGCGAACGGGUGAGUAAUGUAUCGGAACGUGCCCAGUCGUGGGGGAUAACUGCUCGAAAGAGCAGCUAAUACCGCAUACGACCUGAGGGUGAAAGCGGGGGAUGGCAAGACCUCGGGCGAUUGGAGCGGCCGAUAUCAGAUUAGGUAGUUGGUGAGGUAAAGGUGCACCAAGCCGAAGAGCUGUAGCUGGUCUGAGGGGACGACCAGCCACACGGGGACUGAGACACGGCCCAGACUCCUACGGGAGGCAGCAGUGGGGAAUUUUGGACAAUGGGCGCAAGCCUGAUCCAGCCAUGCCGCGUGCGGGAAGAAGGCCUUCGGGUUGUAAACCGCUUUUGUCAGGGAAGAAAAGGUUCUGGCUAAUACCUGGGACUCAUGACGGUACCUGAAGAAUAAGCACCGGCUAACUACGUG
rnacentral:rRNA from 1 species